AAAUUCUGAUUUUAGGAUGAAAAUAAAUGCUAAAGUAUUGUCUCAUCAAAAUGCCAUAGUAUAGAAUGUUAAAAAUGUUGUAUUUAGGCGCAACAAAACCCCCAGCAUAUUUCAGUCCGAAAAAAAAAUGACAUAGUAAAGUAUGACCAAAAUUUCAGAUUUAAGGGUGAAAAAAAAAUUCUGAUUUUCGGAUAAAGAUGAAUGCUAUAGUAUUGUCUCAUCAAAAUGCCAUAGUAUAGAAUGUUAAAAAUGUCAUAUUUAGGUGCAAUAAAACCCAACAUAUUUUAGUCCGAAAAAAAAAACGACAUACUAUACUAUGUCGUAAAUUUCAGAUUUUAGGGUGAAAAAAAAAAAUUUCUGAUUUUAGGAUGAAAAUAAAUGCUUAAGGUUGGAGCUAGGGUUAGGGUUAGGUGUGGGGUUGGAGCUAGGGUUAGGGUUAGGGUUAGGGUUGGAGUUAGGGUUAGUGUUGGAGCUAGGGUUAGGGUUGGGCUUGGAGCUAGGAUUUUUCUGAGUGCAAUGAACCAACUCCCGAGUCUCUAGGACGUUCCUAAAAAAAUUUGAUUUUUUCCCAUAGGAAUGCAUGGGUUAGGGUUAGGGUUAGGGUUGGAGCUAGGGUUAGGGUUAGGGUUAGGGUUGGAGUUAGGGUUAGUGUUGGAGCUAGGGUUAGGGUUGGGCUUGGAGCUAGGAUUUUUCUGAGUGCACUGAACCAACUCCCGAGUCUCUAGGACGUUCCUAAAAAAAUUUGAUUUCUUCCCAUAGGAAUGCAUGGGUUAGGGUUAGGGUUAGGGUUGGAGCUAGGGUUAGGGUUAGGGUUGGAGUUAGGGUUAGUGUUGGAGCUAGGGUUAGGGUUGGGCUUGGAGCUAGGAUUUUUCUGAGUGCACUGAACCAACUCCCGAGUCUCUAGGACGUUCCUAAAAAAAUUUGAUUUUUUCCCAUGGGAAUGCAUGGGUUAGGGUUAGGGUUAGGGUUGGAGCUAGGGUUAGGGUUAGGGUUAGGGUUGGAGUUAGGGUUAGUGUUGGAGCUAGGGUUAGGGUUGGGCUUGGAGCUAGGAUUUUUCUGAGUGCACUGAACCAACUCCCGAGUCUGUAGGAUGUUCCUAAAAAAAUUUGAUUUUUUCCCAUAGGAAUGCAUGGGUUAGGGUUAGGGUUAGGGUUGGAGCUAGGGUUAGGGUUAGGGUUAGGGUUGGAGUUAGGGUUAGUGUUGGAGCUAGGGUUAGGGUUGGGCUUGGAGCUAGGAUUUUUCUGAGUGCACUGAACCAACUCCAGAGUCUCUAGGACGUUCCUAAAAAAAUUUGAUUUUUUCCCAUAGGAAUGCAUGGGUUAGGGUUAGGGUUAGGGUUGGAGCUAGGGUUAGGGUUAGGGUUAGGGUUGGAGUUAGGGUUAGUGUUUUAGCUAGGGUUAGGGUUGGGCUUGGAGCUAGGAUUUUUCUGAGUGCAAUGAACCAACUCCCGAGUCUCUAGGACGUUCCUAAAAAAAUUUGAUUUUUUCCCAUGGGAAUGCAUGGGUUAGGGUUAGGGUUAGGGUUGGAGCUAGGGUUAGGGUUAGGGUUAGGGUUGGAGUUAGGGUUAGUGUUGGAGCUAGGGUUAGGGUUGGGCUUGGAGCUAGGAUUUUUCUGAGUGCACUGAACCAACUCCCGAGUCUCUAGGACGUUCCUAAAAAAAUUUGAUUUCUUCCCAUGCGAAUGCAUGGGUUAGGGUUAGGGUUAGGGUUGGAGCUAGGGUUAGGGUUAGGGUUGGAGUUAGGGUUAGUGUUGGAGCUAGGGUUAGGGUUGGGCUUGGAGCUAGGAUUUUUCUGAGUGCACUGAACCAACUCCCGAGUCUGUAGGAUGUUCCUAAAAAAAUUUGAUUUUUUCCCAUAGGAAUGCAUGGGUUAGGGUUAGGGUUAGGGUUGGAGCUAGGGUUAGGGUUAGGGUUAGGGUUGGAGUUAGGGUUAGUGUUGGAGCUAGGGUUAGGGUUGGGCUUGGAGCUAGGAUUUUUCUGAGUGCACUGAACCAACUCCCGAGUCUCUAGGACGUUCCUAAAAAAUUUGAUUUCUUCCCAUAGGAAUGCAUGGGUUAGGGUUAGGGUUAGGGUUGGAGCUAGGGUUAGGGUUAGGGUUAGGGUUGGAGUUAGGGUUGGGCUUGGAGCUAGGAUUUUUCUGAGUGCACUGAACCAACUCCCGAGUCUCUAGGACGUUCCUAAAAAAAUUUGAUUUUUUCCCAUAGGAAUGCAUGGGUUAGGGUUAGGGUUAGGGUUGGAGCUAGGGUUAGGGUUAGGGUUAGGGUUGGAGUUAGGGUUAGUGUUGGAGCUAGGGUUAGGGUUGGGCUUGGAGCUAGGAUUUUUCUGAGUGCACUGAACCAACUCCCGAGUCUCUAGGACGUUCCUAAAAAAAUUUGAUUUCUUCCCAUAGGAAUGCAUGGGUUAGGGUUAGGGUUAGGGUUGGAGCUAGGGUUAGGGUUAGGGUUAGGGUUGGAGUUAGGGUUAGUGUUGGAGCUAGGGUUAGGGUUGGGCUUGGAGCUAGGAUUUUUCUGAGUGCACUGAACCAACUCCCGAGUCUCUAGGACGUUCCUAAAAAAAUUUGAUUUUUUCCCAUAGGAAUGCAUGGGUUAGGGUUAGGGUUGGAGCUAGGGUUAGGGUUAGGGUUAGGGUUGGAGUUAGGGUUAGUGUUGGAGCUAGGGUUAGGGUUGGGCUUGGAGCUAGGAUUUUUCUGAGUGCACUGAACCAACUCCCGAGUCUCUAGGACGUUCCUAAAAAAAUUUGAUUUUUUCCCAUAGGAAUGCAUGGGUUAGGGUUAGGGUUAGGGUUGGAGCUAGGGUUAGGGUUAGGGUUAGGGUUGGAGUUAGGGUUUGUGUUGGAGCUAGGGUUAGGGUUGGGCUUGGAGCUAGGAUUUUUCUGAGUGCACUGAACCAACUCCCGAGUCUCUAGGACGUUCCUAAAAAAAUUUGAUUUCUUCCCAUAGGAAUGCAUGGGUUAGGGUUAGGGUUAGGGUUGGAGCUAGGGUUAGGGUUAGGGUUAGGGUUGGAGUUAGGGUUAGUGUUGGAGCUAGGGUUAGGGUUGGGCUUGGAGCUAGGAUUUUUCUGAGUGCACUGAACCAACUCCCGAGUCUCUAGGUCGUUCCUAAAAAAAUUUGAUUUCUUCCCAUAGGAAUGCAUGGGUUAGGGUUAGGGUUAGGGUUGGAGCUAGGGUUAGGGUUAGGGUUAGGGUUGGAGUUAGGGUUAGUGUUGGAGCUAGGGUUAGGGUUGGGCUUGGAGCUAGGAUUUUUCUGAGUGCACUGAACCAACUCCCGAGUCUGUAGGAUGUUCCUAAAAAAAUUUGAUUUUUUCCCAUAGGAAUGCAUGGGUUAGGGUUAGGGUUAGGGUUGGAGCUAGGGUUAGGGUUAGGGUUAGGGUUGGAGUUAGGGUUAGUGUUGGAGCUAGGGUUAGGGUUGGGCUUGGAGCUAGGAUUUUUCUGAGUGCACUGAACCAACUCCCGAGUCUCUAGGACGUUCCUAAAAAAAUUUGAUUUUUUCCCAUGGGAAUGCAUGGGUUAGGGUUAGGGUUAGGGUUGGAGCUAGGGUUAGGGUUAGGGUUAGGGUUGGAGUUAGGGUUAGUGUUUUAGCUAGGGUUAGGGUUGGGCUUGGAGCUAGGAUUUUUCUGAGUGCAAUGAACCAACUCCCGAGUCUCUAGGACGUUCCUAAAAAAAUUUGAUUUUUUCCCAUGGGAAUGCAUGGGUUAGGGUUAGGGUUAGGGUUGGAGCUAGGGUUAGGGUUAGGGUUAGGGUUGGAGUUAGGGUUAGUGUUGGAGCUAGGGUUAGGGUUGGGCUUGGAGCUAGGAUUUUUCUGAGUGCACUGAACCAACUCCCGAGUCUCUAGGACGUUCCUAAAAAAAUUUGAUUUCUUCCCAUAGGAAUGCAUGGGUUAGGGUUAGGGUUAGGGUUGGAGCUAGGGUUAGGGUUAGGGUUAGGGUUGGAGUUAGGGUUAGUGUUGGAGCUAGGGUUAGGGUUGGGCUUGGAGCUAGGAUUUUUCUGAGUGCACUGAACCAACUCCCGAGUCUCUAGGACGUUCCUAAAAAAAUUUGAUUUUUUCCCAUGGGAAUGCAUGGGUUAGGGUUAGGGUUAGGGUUGGAGCUAGGGUUAGGGUUAGGUGUGGGUAAGAGAUACAGUGAUAGCCCCCGCUUUCGUCUGUUGACUUGGCGGUUUGGGGUAGGCUAAUCAAGGGCUUGCACUGGCCGUCGCAUGUCGACCUGUCACAUGUUCCCAGUCGAGUCUCCGAGCCCAAUCUGUGAGUAAAAAACUAUGUGUGGGUAGGAAGUUUAAUUACUCAGCUCAGUUGGUAUGCUAUGCUGUCUAUCUUUUAGACUAUGUGUUUGUAGAGCCAUUAUUUUUUGAGGUUCAGUUAGGAGUUAGAGUUGGUAUGGUUACCAGUUAAAACAAUAAUAAUAAUAAUAAUAAUAAUAAUAAUAAUAAUAAUAAUAAUAAUGGUAAUAACAAUAAUUAUACUAAUAAUAAUAAUAAUAAAAGUAAUAAUUGUGUUUAUUGAGAAGGACUAGGUGAUAUUAGUAGGGAGGGAAAAGGGUGAAAUUUACCUAAGAGAGUAGGGUUAGGAUGCGUUAGUACAAAGUCUCAGAGGAUGGGGAGAGGGAGAAACAGGUGGUCUGGAUUAAAACCAUUCUGUUUCUACAGGGAUUCGAGUGAUAGAGAGAGAAUAGAACUUGCCACAGUGACUAGCCAGAGAAACUCUCCUCACCUGUUGCUUUUCAACCUCUGAUACGAAAAAGGAGGGUGGGGUGAUUAAGUUAAGAUAGAGGUUAGUAAGGUUAGGGUUGGGGUUAGAUUUAGGGUUUAGGGGUUAGGGGUUAGGGUUAGGGUUAGGGUUAGGGUAAGGGUUAGGGUUAGGGUUAGGGUUAGGGUUAGAUUUAGGGUCUAGAGGUUAGGGUUAGGGUUAGGGUCAGGGUAAGGGUUAGAUUUAGGGUUUUAGGGGUUAGGGUUAGGGUUAGGGUUAGGGUUAGGGGUUAGGGUUAGGGUUAGGGUUAGGGUUAGGGUUAGAUUUAGGGUUAGGGUUAGGGUUAGGGUUAGGGGGUUAGGGUUAGGUGUGGGUAAGAGAUACAGUGAUAGCCCCCGCUUUCGUCUGUUGACUUGGCGGUUUGGGGUAGGCUAAUCAAGGGCUUGCACUGGCCGUCGCAUGUCGACCUGUCACAUGUUCCCAGUCGAGUCUCCGAGCCCAAUCUGUGAGUAAAAAACUAUGUGUGGGUAGGAAGUUUAAUUACUCAGCUCAGUUGGUAUGCUAUGCUGUCUAUCUUUUAGACUAUGUGUUUGUAGAGCCAUUAUUUUUUGAGGUUCAGUUAGGAGUUAGAGUUGGUAUGGUUACCAGUUAAAACAAUAAUAAUAAUAAUAAUAAUAAUAAUAAUAAUAAUAAUGGUAAUAACAAUAAUUAUACUAAUAAUAAUAAUAAUAAUAAAAGUAAUAAUUGUGUUUAUUGAGAAGGACUAGGUGAUAUUAGUAGGGAGGGAAAAGGGUGAAAUUUACCUAAGAGAGUAGGGUUAGGAUGCGUUAGUACAAAGUCUCAGAGGAUGGGGAGAGGGAGAAACAGGUGGUCUGGAUUAAAACCAUUCUGUUUCUACAGGGAUUCGAGUGAUAGAGAAAGAAUAGAACUUGCCACAGUGACUAGCCAGAGAAACUCUCCUCACCUGUUGCUUUUCAACCUCUGAUACGAAAAAGGAGGGUGGGGUGAUUAAGUUAAGAUAGAGGUUAGUAAGGUUAGGGUUGGGGUUAGAUUUUAGGGUUUAGGGGUUAGGGGUUAGGGUUAGGGUUAGGGUUAGGGUUAGGGUAAGGGUUAGGGUUAGGGUUAGGGUUAGAUUUAGGGUCUAGAGGUUAGGGUUAGGGUUAGGGUCAGGGUAAGGGUUAGAUUUAGGGUUUUAGGGGUUAGGGUUAGGGUUAGGGUUAGGGUUAGGGUUAGGGUUAGGGUUAGGGUUAGGGUUAGGGUUAGGGUUAGCGUUAGGGCUAGGGUUAGGGUUAGGGUUAGGGGUUAGGGUUAGGUGUGGGUAAGAUACAGUGAUAGCCCCCGCUUUCGUCUGUUGACUUGGCGGUUUGGGGUAGGCUAAUCAAGGGCUUGCACUGGCCGUCGCAUGUCGACCUGUCACAUGUUCCCAGUCGAGUCUCCGAGCCCAAUCUGUGAGUAAAAAACUAUGUGUGGGUAGGAAGUUUAAUUACUCAGCUCAGUUGGUAUGCUAUGCUGUCUAUCUUUUAGACUAUGUGUUUGUAGAGCCAUUAUUUUUUGAGGUUCAGUUAGGAGUUAGAGUUGGUAUGGUUACCAGUUAAAACAAUAAUAAUAAUAAUAAUAAUAAUAAUAAUAAUAAUAAUGGUAAUAACAAUAAUUAUACUAAUAAUAAUAAUAAUAAUAAAAGUAAUAAUUUUAUUUAUUGAGAAGGACUAGGUGAUAUUAGUAGGGAGGGAAAAGGGUGAAAUUUACCUAAGAGAGUAGGGUUAGGAUGCGUUAGUACAAAGUCUCAGAGGAUGGGGAGAGGGAGAAACAGGUGGUCUGGAUUAAAACCAUUCUGUUUCUACAGGGAUUCGAGUGAUAGAGAAAGAAUAGAACUUGCCACAGUGACUAGCCAGAGAAACUCUCCUCACCUGUUGCUUUUCAUCCUCUGAUACGAAAAAGGAGGGUGGGGUGAUUAAGUUAAGAUAGAGGUUAGUAAGGUUAGGGUUGGGGUUAGAUUUAGGGUUUAGGGGUUAGGGGUUAGGGUUAGGGUUAGGGUUAGGGUAAGGGUUAGGGUUAGGGUUAGGGUUAGGGUUAGAUUUAGGGUCUAGAGGUUAGGGUUAGGGUUAGGGUCAGGGUAAGGGUUAGAUUUAGGGUUUUAGGGGUUAGGGUUAGGGUUAGGGUUAGGGUUAGGGUUAGAUUUAGGAUCUAGAGGUUAGGGUUAGGGUAAGGGUUAGGGUUAGGGUUAGGGUUAGAUUUAGGGUUUAGGGUUAGAUUUAGGGUUAAGAGGGUUAGGGUUGGAUUUAGGUUCUAGAGGUUAGGGUUAGGGUGAGGGUGAUGUUUAUGGUUAGUGCCUGAAGAGAGCUAACCAUGGCUAUUUAAAAGAAUUAAAAUUCAAAGAAUACGACACUUCAGAUUGUCUAGACUCUGGACUCUGCUAAAGGUAGCAAAGCUAUGGUUGAAAGUACUGAAAAUGCAGUAUAAAAUAUAUAAGGUUAGUUACUAAUUCUUAUUGAUAAAUUUUAGUUCAGAGUCAAAAGUGGAUGGUCCCGUGUAGAACCUUCUGUUCCACUCAGGCCUGUGUAGGCCAAAGACCCUGCUAAGGUCCCUCAAGGCUGUGACCUAAAAUUAUUUUUGAUUAAAUUGGAAAUCUAAAUUAUUACUUUUUAAUAAAUUUUAAUUCAGAGUCAAAAGUGGAUGGUCCCGUGUAGAACCUUCUGUUCCACUCAGGCCUGUCUAGGCCAAAGACCCUGCUAAGCUUCCCUUAAGGCUGUGACCUAAAAUAAUUUUUGAAUUGGAAAUAUUUAUAAAUUAUUCUUUUAAAUAAUUUUUUAAUUCAGAGUCAAAAGUGGAUGGUCCCGUUUAGAACCUUCUUCCACUCAGACCUGUCUAGGUCAAAGACUCUGCUAAGAUUCCUCAAGGUUGUGGACUAAGAUAAUUUUGAGUUGGAAGUAUUUAUAAAUUAUUCCUUUUAAUAAAUUUUUAAUUAAUUUUUUAAUUAAUUUUUUAAUUCAGAGUCAAAAGUGGAUGGUCCCGUAUAGAACCUUCUGUUCCACUCAGGCCUGUGUAGGCUAGAGACCCUGCUAAGCUUCCUCAAGGCUGUGACCUACAAUAAUUUUAGAUUGAAUUGGGUGUAAUAAUAAAUUAUUCCUUUUUAAUAUAUUUUUUAUUCAGAGUCAAAAGUGGAUGGUCCUGUGUAGAACCUUCUGUUCCACUCAGGCCUGUGUAGGCCAGAGACCCUGCUAAGCUUCCUCAAGGCUGUGACCUAAAAUAAUUUUUAGAUUGAAUUGGGUAUAUUAAUCAAUUAUUCCUUUUUAAUAAAUUUUUAAUUCAGAGUCAAAAGUGGAUGGUCCCGUGUAGAACCUUCUGUUCCACUCAGGCCUGUGUAGGCCAAAGACCCUGCUAAGCUCCCUCAAGACUGUGACCUAAAAUAAUUUUAGAUUGAAUUGGGUAUAUUUAAAAAAUUAUUCCUUUUUAAUAUAUAUUUUUUUAUUUAUUUCAGAGUCAAAAGUGGAUGGUCCCGUGUAGAACCUUCUGUUCCACUCAGACCUGUCUAGGUCAAAGACUCUGCUAAGCUCCCUCAAGGCUGUGACCUAAAAUAAUUUUUGAAUUGGAAAUAUUUAUAAAUUAUUCUUUUAAAUAAAUUUUUAAUUUUUUUAAUUCAGAGUCAAAAGUGGAUGGUCCCGUGUAGAACCUUCUGUUCCACUCAGGCCUGUCUAGGCCAAAGACCCUGCUAAGCUUCCCUUAAGGCUGUGACCUAAAUUAAUUUUUUGAAUUAGAAAUAUUUAUAAAUUAUUAUUUUGAAUAAUUUUUAAUUUAGAGUCAAAAGUGGAUGGUCCCGUGUAGAACCUUCUGUUCCACUCUGACCUGUCUAGGUCAAAGACUCUGCUAAGCUCCCUCAAGGCUGUGAACUAAAAUAAUUUUUAAUUCGAAGUAUUCCUAAAUUAUUCCUUUUAAUAAAUCUUUAAUUCAGAGUCAAAAGUGGAUGGUCCCGUGUAGAACCUUCUGUUCCACUCAGGCCCGUCUAGGCCCAAGACCCUGCUAAGCUUCCUCAAGGCUGUGAUCUACAAUAAUUUUAGAUUGAAUGGGGUAUGUUUAAAAAUUAUUAUUUUUUUCACAAUUUUUUAAUUUAGAGUCAAAAGUGGAUGGUCCUGUGUAGAACCUUCUGUUCCACUCAGGCCUGUUUAGGCCAAAGACCCUGAUAAGGUCCCUCAAGGCUGUGACCUAAAAUUAUUUUGGAUUGAACUGGGUAUAUUUAUAAAUUAUUAUAUUUUAAUAAAUUUUUAAUUCAGAGUCACAAGUGGAUGGUCCCAUGUAGAACCUUCUGUUCCACUCAGGCCUGUGUAGGCCCAAGACCCCGCUAAUCUCCCUAACGCUGUGACCUAAAAUCAACUUAAGUUAAAUCAGAGGUGUUAUUUAUAAAUUAUUUGAAAAUAUUACUGCAGAGUUAAGUGUUAAUGUUAUCAAUAAUUUUAUUAAUUUAAUUUUAUUAAUUUUUGAUUAAUUAAUAGAAUUAUUGGUCCAGAGUAUCGACUUUUCAGAAGGUUGUAUUGUUGUAGAUGGAUAAGUUUGAAAUUAAUUGGAGAUUUUUUUUAUGAAUUAUCUAAGAGCUAGGUAUAACUGUAAAUUAUUAUUUCAGGGUUAAGCAAUUAGAUAGGAAUUGUAGUUUAGGUAUCGGACUAUUCUACAGGUACAUUACAUGAUUAAAGCAAUUUUGAGUUAGAUAAGUAAGGUUAGCUCCCCAAUUU
rnacentral:lncRNA from 1 species